rnacentral:rRNA from 1 species
AGUUUAUUGUUUUUUAUAAUAAAUUUUUUCUGCCCCAUGCUUAAUUAAGUAAAUGGCCGCGGUAUCUUGACCGUGCAAAGGUAGCAUAAUCAUUUGCCUUUUAAUUGAAGGCUGGAAUGAAAGAAAGUUUGAGACUUUAGCUGUCUCUUUUUUAUUUUUAGAAUUUGCUGUUUUUGUGAAGAAGCAAAGUUUUUAGAAAAAGACAAGAAGACCCUUUUAAGCUUUACCUUUUUCUUUUUCUUCCUUCUUUUUAGUAUUUUUAGUAAAAGAAAAAGGUUUGGUUGGGGUGAUUAAAGAAGACUAAAUCUUCUUUAGUUUUUUUUGGCUUAGGGCCGAAUUUUGACCCGGUAUUUCCGGUCGAAAGAAUUAGUUACUAAAGGGAUAACAGCGUAAUUUUUUCAGAGAGUUCUUAUUGAAGAAAAAGAUUGCGACCUCGAUGUUGACUUGCUUUCUCCUUUUAAGGUGCAGAAGUUGAAAGGGUUGGUCUGUUCGACCAUUAAAAUAGCACGUGAGUUGAGUUCAGACCGGCGUGAG